UCAAACUUAAAGUGUAUGAAUACCUCCAGUUAAAAACCUAAAGCUGUUUGCUUUCUGACUGUUUUCUCCUUUACACGUAAGAAACCGCAAAGGAAACAAUCUUAAUCAUGAUUAGUUAGUUUAAUAAAGUGAGUAAGUGACCAUUGCUAAUCUAAUACUUUUCCUAAUCCCACUUGUUCCACACUAAUCAAUCAAAGAUUAUUUUAAAUAAUUUCUUCCAUCCUUGAUAAACCUUUAAUUUGUCGCCCUUUGCAUUUGCAACCCAUUAGCCAUUUCCACCUGGAAAUGUUUCUUUAAUGACUUCUUCAUAUCACUUUGGAGAUAAAAAAAAGUUUUGAGGUUUGUCAGUUUGUGUAUAAACACACUCGAGAUUUUCAGAUAUUGCUUAUGAAGUGGGCUUGUGUAAUAUUGAUGUGAUAUAUCUCUCUCUCUUCCUUUCAAUAGUUAAUCAUCAGAUAGGUUUCCUCCUCAUGCUAGUUAUGUCCCUUUCCAAGUGAUUUUACAUCGACCAAGUAGUUUAUAUAUUCAUGCACCUCUCUCUCUCUUAGUUGCUUACCCCCCAGAUCAUCUUGAUGAUUGAUUUGCUUUCUGAAUCACUCUAACCGAUAAGGGUCUUUCGUUUGUGGUUGUUUUUAUGGGUUCUGAUGAAAAAGACUUAGAAUCUAGCGUGAGAUAGUUGCUAACAGCCGGUACUUGCAGAUGCAGCAUCAUUAAGAUUCACAACAGAUGUAGUUUCUUUUGUUUUCACCUCUCUAUUCGAAAACAAAGGGGUCAUCUCGAAUGAGAAUCUUGAUGAUGCUGCAUCAGCAUAUACAUGGCUUCUCGUUCUGUAAUGAAGAAAGUAAAGAUGUCUUGCCGAAAAGGACUAAAAACAGAAGGUAAAGUCUCUUUUUCUUGUUUCCGACUCUUUCAUAAUUUCUUGAUCACGCCCAUAUUGUGAAAUAUCCUUACGAUGAUGAUGUUUCUUUCUUGAUUUUGUUGUUUGGCAAAACCAUUCACAUGUAGAGCUGUCAACGGAUCCCACACAUGCUUAAAAACUAUCAAAAAUCGUGUACCCAUUAUAUUUUAAAGUACAGUAGACCUUGAUAUGAUUCUAUAAUGAGAAAUUAACAAUUUGGGUCACUUUUUGAGUUUCUCUAUCAUAAAAAGUCACUUUGGACUACUAGGACACAUUAUGGCUGGUUGAAUACCAUUUUAUCCCUGGAAAAAGCAAAAAUGGAUUUAGUUAAUUUGAUUUUUUUUCUUGGUUUUGGUUUUGAAUUUCAAAAAAAGGUUUCUGUGGUUGACCCGAGGUUAAAAUUAGAUGGGUUUUUUUUUCCUUUUUCUGCUCGAUAGGAAAGUGAAAAGGUAGUUUUUUACGAGUUCUACGAUUUACUCUCCCGGCGGUUCCGACUUAGAUCUUACGGCGGUGGAUGACGGAAAUGGUGGAGAAGUUGUGAGUGUAGCCAAGGCGGUGGAUGGAGGAUCGGCAAAGAAGAUGAUAACGGUGGCGGCGCAACUACUACAGUUGAAGCAAUGAAGAUGAAAACCAGAGGUGAUGAAAUCCAGAUCUUGUUUUUGUUCUCCUCCGUUCAAUUUUUUGGGUAGUCAAAUUACAGAAUAUAUCUUUCUCUCUAUAUAAUCUGUUUUAUAUGCUCAUCUACUUCCAUGGAUACAUAUGCAUCAUUUAGUAUCAGUGUGUGGACUAGAUUUUUCACAGGUUGGUUUCAAUUAGAUUCCAUCCAAUCUGGGGCCUACUCUAUGUAUCUAGUGUCAAGUUUGCUACGAAGACACUCAACUUCAAAAGCAAAGUUGUCAAAGCUCAGAUUUGGGAUAUUGCUGAUCAAGAGAGGUAAGAAUGUGUUUCCUCUAUUUGCUUUCUCCUGUUGAAUUAGUUUCUUUAUGAAAUUCUUAGAAUCAUAAGUGUUUGACAGAGUCUAUGAUGUGUAGGUAACGAUGUUGUUACUGAAAUUAUUAUUUAGUCUCUUUUGUUAACAUCUUUGUUUAUACUUUUGAGAUAUUGAGCAAUCACAAGGGCUACUACAAAGGAGAUGAAGUGUCUCCGUCGCAAGUAGUAUUUGCAGCAAGAAUAGCAGUAGCACCCAUGGAAGCUUUAAGCACUCUUUUCGAGAAUUACACAGAUGUAGCAUCCAUGGAAGUUUUCCUUUUUGACUUCUUUUUCUUUUGGUAUUGGUAUUUCAUUUUCCUUUAUGUAAUUUCAGCUAACAAUCAUUUUCCUCUUAUGUAUUUCCUUUCCACAAAAUACAUGUACAUAUGUACACCAAAGUACAUGUACAUAUGUACACCAAAACAUAUGUAUAUAUGUUUUACAAACCUUUCCACAAAAUACAUGUACAUAUGUACAUAGGCAAUACGGUGAUUACUAUAUAGAUGUGUUUAUGAAAUACAUGUACAUAUGUACAUAGGCAAUACGGUCUUUGCUUCC